ensembl:lncRNA
UGCUUCUCCCACUGUGCCAGCAGCAGCACUCCAUCUGUGGGAGGAAAGAGCCCGCUCGUCCCCAGCCAUGGCAAUGGGAAGCCAAGACACCAGUGAGCUGGAGGAGACACUCCUUGGGGAGGGAAGGCUACCACCCGCCCUCCAUCUGAACCUCAGUGAACAACGGCAAUUGCCUAAAACGACAGCAAGUUUCGCUGCUCUUUUCUGGAAAUACAAAGUUAGGCUUUUGAAUGAAAUUACAGAAACGCUUCUGAAGCGGAGAAUAAAGAGAAAUAGUUGCCCAGCUCUAACCCUGAGACCUGCACCAGUUGUGCCCUGUUGGCUGUAUCUCUGGAAAGCAAGCUUCUGAGGAGCAACCAGCUUGUCUUUCAUCAAGGACUUAAUAACCAGAUGAAGGUUCUCUUUUCAUCAGUUCAUAAGUGAUGCUCCAUUUGAUUGAAGAAGAUCAAAAAUGACGAUCAGAAAAUAACAAGGAAGUUUUAAAGGUGGCCUUUAUACAACACUUCAACUGUCUCAUUCCUGUUAUUUCAGAAGUAUCACUGGGUUUCUUCUCAGGUUUGGAAAAAAAAUGUAUAAAAUUCUCAAGAACUGACAGUACUUGCCUUUUUUUUUAAUUUUAGAAGCUUAUAUGUUAAUGGUGGUCAACAUGCCUCUUCUGCACUGUGCCGUGGUGUUAAGUGAAAGCAACAGCAGCAAAACUAUUAG